CGCGCACCCGUCGGCGCCGAGCGCGCAGCCUGCUCCACCGCCGCCUCUCCGCCCCGCCGCCGCCUCUCGGCCGCCGCCGCUGCUGGGCAGCCGGAUAGUGCUCUAGGCAGUCUGCGGAGGACCAGCAGUCAGCCUUCCCAUUUCUCCAGUUGGUAAAGUGGAAUAAGGAUAUAUCACCAACUAUGUUUUCUUGCUUCGUGUCCCCAAGCCAGAGACUUGCAACUCUGUCUCCUGGUGUUUGAGAUAGUUUGGGGGCUCUUGGCUACUCACUGUUGAGCACAUCUUUUUCAGGGGUUGGGUGUUGGGGUAGGAUGUCCUGGGUUGGAAGUUCAAAUAGUAGUGGGCAAUAAUUAUCUUCCCAGGGUGGAGUAGCCCUUCCUUUAAGAACACAAGACCCUGCAAAGGAGCCCAGAAAUUCUUCAUCAUUUGUUUGUUUCUGGGGCCAAGGAAAAUAUUGAGAACAUUUUGCUGCCCCACACACCCUUCCAGGACAUGUUGAUUGCCAACUGCUCUGUGCAACUUUUCUCCAGCUAUGUCUCUUCAAGCAAAGACCAAAAAGGAAAGCAAGAAAAAACUAUGAAAACAUUAUAAUAAAUGAUAAAAUUAA